rnacentral:rRNA from 1 species
UACGUAGGGUGCGAGCGUUGCCCGGAUUUAUUGGGCGUAAAGGGCGCGUAGGCGGCCUGGCAAGUGGAAGGUGAAAUCCCUCGGCUUAACCGAGGAACUGCCCUCCAAACUGCUUGGCUUGAGUCCGGGAGAGGUGAGUGGAAUUCCCAGUGUAGCGGUGAAAUGCGUAGAUAUUGGGAGGAACACCAGUGGCGAAGGCGGCUCACUGGACCGGAACUGACGCUGAGGCGCGAAAGCGUGGGGAGCAAACGGGG